CGGUCUCAUGGUAAACAAUUUAGCGAGGAGGAGUGUUGGGGGGGCGGUGUGUGUGUGUGCAGUAAUUACAGCUUUCAGUCUCAUUUAGAACGGCCGUUGGCGCUGGGGCGCAGCACGUCGCCACGAUGCCGGAUGCGUUUCUGGACUUGAGAUGUGCAGCUAUGAACAGUGAUGGAGUGAGCGCUGUCAGCGGCUGAGGGACGGGUAAUGCGUCGUACGGCUGCUCCUUACUGCUGCGCUCCUGUGUAGACCAGAGAGGUGUUUAAUAAAGGUUAAUGCUUCUUCUGCAUGAAAAUCAAUUCCUUCUUUAAAGAAAAAACAGAACAGCAGAUUCCGGGUUCUUCUUUUGCCUGUCAGUUGCCAUAUUAAACUGCUGAUGUGACAUUCUGAUGUGAAACAGAAAGCGCGUUAUUACGGGACGAUCAGCGUCAGGAGGAACGCCACCGAGUUGGAGUGAGACAUAAUGCAGUUACGUAUUUAUGCGUAAAACCCAAAUACGACAUGUCAGGUAGGUCUUAUUAGAUUUGAAUUUCAAGAAUUUUGCUCAAUUUACGUUUCACAAAUUCACAGCGGCAUCAUCAAAUAUUAUAUCAUUUUUCUUUGAUUUGGUGUCAUUAAAAUCAAAGGUUUUUUUAAUUUAUUUUAUCUCCAUUUUUAAUGCAAUUCAAUUGAAACAUACAGUACUUUAUUUAUCACAAAGGGAACAUUAAGCUCAUCAAACAAGUGUCUUGGAGGAGCCUCUGGUCUACGGUGAUCCUGUAGACCAGAAGGAUUUCUGCUAGCAGUCAGUUUUGCAACAAAUCUGGGGAGGCCUCUGACUGAAGACUGUUGUUGAACGACAGCUUCAUGACGAUCAUGACACGCUAGCAGCUACAUUUUCAAGGAGAGGAGACGAUAUUCCAUGGCGACAAGUCCUGGAUGACACCAUCAGCUGCUUUUGUCGCUCGCAGUCAGUGAACUCAGGUAAUAGGAAAUGGCACUGACCCCUCCUGAUCCCUCCCGAUUACCUUCGUGAAGCGUGAACGUGCUGCGGAAUCACACAUCAGGAGACGACUUGUAAUUAUUUCUGCGAUGCCAUCAGCACGGAUCAAUCACUCAGGGAGGCUGCUAGUGGAACGCCGCUCGCAGCCAUGCAUGGAGCCAGCAGCGGCCCCCGUUUGACUGACAGCUUUGGUGAUUAAGCGAUUGUAUAGACCCCACCGACUGUUAUAACAACCUUGUCAGGGCCGGCCCGUGUUUGGAGCGUGCUCGAAUCAAUGUGUUCUCCACUUCCUGCGCAUCUCUGAUCCUGCUCCUCUGACAGCAGGAGGAGGGAAGCUCAACAUUUGGGAUUCUUUGAAUAUUUUGUUGUGGCAGUAAAUAGUUAAAAAUAUGCUAAGGUGCUUAUUUUUAGCAGCCCAGAAAUGAUACAACCUAACGCGGGUGUUACAUUCCCUCCAUGAAUGUAGCGCGCAUCAGUAUCUCAUGUGGAAACGUGCGCACACUGGAAAGAGAGAGUAGAGCUGCACCUUUAAAAAAGAUUCACUUAAUUUGUUGCAUGUAAUUGAAUAAAGUUUGUCAAACUUA